rnacentral:rRNA from 1 species
UGUGACAUACCUACAACUGUUGCUUCGGCGGGUAGGCCGUCCCCUGAAAAGGACGCCUCCCGGCCCGGACCGGACCCCCCGCGGGACCGGACCCGGCGCCCGCCGGAGGAUAACCAAACUCUAUUGUAACGACGUUUCUUCUGAGUGGCAUAAGCAAAAUAAUCAAAACUUUUAACAACGGAUCUCUUGGUUCUGGCAUCGAUGAAGAACGCAGCGAAAUGCGAUAAGUAAUGUGAAUUGCAGAAUUCAGUGAAUCAUCGAAUCUUUGAACGCACAUUGCGCCCGCCAGCAUUCUGGCGGGCAUGCCUGUUCGAGCGUCAUUUCAACCCUCAAGCUCUGCUUGGUGUUGGGGCUCUACGGUCGACGUAGGCCCUCAAAGGUAGUGGCGGACCCUCCCGGAGCCUCCUUUGCGUAGUAACAUUUCGUCUCGCACUGGGAUCCGGAGGGACUCUUGCCGUAAAACCCCCCAAUUUUCCAAAGGUUGACCUCGGAUCAGGUAGGAAUACCCGCUGAACUUAAGCAUAUCAAUAAGCGGAGGAA